rnacentral:rRNA from 1 species
GGUGCUGCAUGGCUGUCGGUCAGCUCGUGUCGUGAGAUGUUGGGUUAAGUCCGUAACGAGCGCAACCCUUGUCCUUAGUUACCAGCACGUUAUGGUGGGCGACUCUAAGGAGACUGCCGGUGACAAACCGGAGGAAGGUGGGGAUGACGUCAAGUCAUCAUGGCCCUUACGGCCUGGGCUACACACGUGCUACAAUGGUCGGUACAAAGGGUUGCCAAGCCGCGAGGUGGAGCUAAUCCCAUAAAACCGAUCGUAGUCCGGAUCGCAGUCUGCAACUCGACUGCGUGAAGUCGGAAUCGCUAGUAAUCGUGAAUCAGAAUGUCACGGUGAAUACGUUCCCGGGCCUU